rnacentral:rRNA from 1 species
AGAGUUUGAUCCUGGCUCAGAGCGAGCGCUGGCGGCAGGCCUAAAACAUGCAAGUCGAACGCCGUAGCAAUACGGAGUGGCAGACGGGUGAGUAACACGUGGGAACGUACCCUUUGGUUCGGAACAACACAGGGAAACUUGUGCUAAUACCGGAUAAGCCCUUACGGGGAAAGAUUUAUCGCCGAAGGAUCGGCCCGCGUCUGAUUAGCUAGUUGGUGGGGUAACGGCCCACCAAGGCUACGAUCAGUAGCUGGUCUGAGAGGAUGAUCAGCCACACUGGGACUGAGACACGGCCCAGACUCCUACGGGAGGCAGCAGUUAGGAAUCUUGGACAAUGGGCGCAAGCCUGAUCCAGCCAUGCCGCGUGAGUGACGAAGGCCUUAGGGUUGUAAAGCUCUUUCAGCGGGGAAGAUAAUGACG